CCUACGGGAGGCAGCAGUGAGGAAUAUUGGUCAAUGGACGCAAGUCUGAACCAGCCAUGCCGCGUGCAGGAAGACGGCUCUAUGAGUUGUAAACUGCUUUUGUACGAGGGUAAACGCAGAUACGCGUAUCUGUCUGAAAGUAUCGUACGAAUAAGGAUCGGCUAACUCCGUGCCAGCAGCCGCGGUAAUACGGAGGAUUCAAGCGUUAUCCGGAUUUAUUGGGUUUAAAGGGUGCGUAGGCGGUCGGAUAAGUUAGAGGUGAAAUCCCGAGGCUCAACUUCGGAAUUGCCUCUGAUACUGUUCGGCUAGAGAGUAGGUGCGGUAGGCGGAAUGUAUGGUGUAGCAGUGAAAUGCGUAGAGAUCAUACAGAACACCGAUGGCGAAGGCAGCUUACCAAGCUACUUCUGACGUUGAGGCACGAAAGCGUGGGGAGCAAACAGGAUUAGAUACCCCAGUAGUC
rnacentral:rRNA from 1 species